GGAAACAGAACUCGAGUGGUUGAGUGUCUCCCUUUUAAGGUGAAAGUCCCGGUUCAAACCCGGGUGUUUCCU
rnacentral:tRNA from 2 species